CGUGUUGCUAUGGCAACACAACCCACUUCGCCGGGGACCGCGUUGCCUCGGCGACAUCAGGCGGGCAACGCCGGCUGAUUAAAUCGGCUCAGAGCAGCUGCCCCCUGAAAAACAGGACAACCCUGGCCUCGGGGAGCAUGGGAGCCCAAAGGUUCAUCUCACCAGAGCCUGGGAAUGUAGAACAGCCAUGUGACUAAUGUGAUUAGCAGCGUUGUUAGCAAGAAAAACCAGACACAAAAAUCAAGAUGAGCAUCUUCCAUGGACACCUCACUUCAGGAUCUUACCAUUAUUCCAAGCAAAGCUUUAGCAGCUCUUCCCAGCUCCAAGGGAGGUUAGGAGAUCAGGAUGCCUUUGACAGGGCAACUGGAAUGGGCAGCUUAAAGCAUCAGUGUUUGGAAUUGCAAGAAAGAAGAGGCACAUCUGUCCUCCGACGUGUCAGUAUUUCAGAAACAUCGCUUGAGAGAUGCUGCUUCCUGGACGGACUCUUCUAUCACUGCCCUCCAUUCCCUGGAGCACCACACUAACUGUGGCCGUGACAUGCUGGCAUGGAACUUA